UGGGGAAUUUUGGACAAUGGGGGGAACCCUGAUCCAGCAACGCCGCGUGAAUGAAGAAGGCCUUAGGGUUGUAAAGUUCUUUUGUCUGAGAGCAAAGGUAGUGGAGUAAUAUGCUAUUGCCAUGAGAGUAUCAGAAGAAUAAGCACCGGCUAACUACGUGCCAGCAGCCGCGGUAAUACGUAGGGUGCGAGCGUUAAUCGGAAUUACUGGGCGUAAAGGGUGCGUAGGCGGACAUGUAAGUUAGAUGUGAAAUACCUGAGCUUAACUUGGGAGGUGCAUUUAAGACUGCAUGACUAGAGUCUGUAAGAGGGGGGUAGAAUUCCAAGUGUAGCAGUGAAAUGCGUAGAGAUUUGGAGGAAUACCAGAGGCGAAGGCGGCCCCCUGGUAUAAGACUGACGCU
rnacentral:rRNA from 1 species